GUUUUGUAAAGGGGGCGGAGCUGCAGGGCUCAUGUGGAGGUGGUGAGAAAGCGGACAAGUCCAACUGGCAUCUAGACGCCGGGAUUUUCAAUUGGGGGACUUUCGCAUAUCAUGGAACUAUACGAGGAAACCCGGCUGGACAAAUUUUGUCACUGAUCACAUCUCCAGUGUUUUAUUCCCUACUCUGUCUCCUUCUGAAGAAGGAGAGAAACGUGCAAGUUUCCAGAGCUGUUUCUGAGCUGCAGGGCGAAAUCAAAGCGCCGGCAGAGUGGGCGGGGUUUACCCAGUCUAGAAAGCUCUAGAAUCUGUGGGAAAAAAGCGCGAAAGAAGCGGCACUUGAAUUUCUGACUCGUCGUCAGUGACAGAAAAGCUCAGCUAGAUAGCCAGGAGAAGAUUUUUCCCAACCGUGACCUCUGCCGGAGUUUCCAUCUUGGAAUCGCGGAUCCUUCACCAACUGCUUAUCGGGACUUCCAGAAAAUCAAAGAAUGAGUAAUGGACUCCAUUGAGAAGGCAAUACAGGCCGUGCUACCACAGCUAGAUGAAGCAAAGCUUGAAUCUUUAGUCAAUGAGUUGGUGAAAGUAGGUGUUGAAGGACCAGAUGAUCUGCAGUUUAUUCAAGAAGAUGACGUCAAACAUCUGCUCACACCCAUUCAGUGCAGAAAAAUUAUUCAUUCCUUGAAAGGAGGUCCUUCCAAUCCCCAGCUGAGCCCUUCAUCGUCUGAGCCACUGUCAGUUGCCUCUUCCAGCACAUGCCCCAUAUCAUCUAUCAGUCCUAUCUCUGCAUGGGUGAACAGUUUUGAGGUGCCAUGGAACAAAGUCAGGCUGACUCUUAGAAGAGCAGUAGAUGCUGGUGAGAGGCCAGCUCCGGAUGACCGCAGACACUUGAUAAAAGUCACUGUUGAUGCGAUGAGAGAG